CACCCCCUAACUACGUUGUCCCGAUUUUGUAGCGAAACGCAACCCGACCGGCGCCAUCGCCGCCUGAGGCAGACCUUCACCUCCUCUCGGCAAGAUGCUACCGCCGCCCGGCACAGGUGGUGGCCUCCGCCCGGCAUAGGGCGCCGCCUCCGCCAAGGACACCGCCGUCGUCCCCGUCCCCCGUUGCAGGCCACCGCGUCUGACCGCCGCAGGACGCCACCCCCGCACAGCCCAAGAUGCCACCCCCUCCCGCUCAAGCCGACGCCGCUCGACGCUCAAGCCGCCUUCGUUAAAAAGCCAGGCGCAACACGCCGCCUCCGCCCGCCGCGCAGAGCACCAAUUAUAGGCAACUGAUCAGAGUAUAGUAGGACGCUGCCUUGCAGUUUUCUUAUUUUACUAAUGCUACCAUAACACUCCCGACCGGCGCCGACACCAACGAAAGCUCCUGCCCCAAAUCCGGCGAUUUCUUUGAUGAAAAAUGCAGUACCCUCUACACCUCAGCUAUGCACAACUACAGGUACGUGGUCACUGAUCUCUGCCCUUCUGUCUACUAUAAUACAUAGCACCACUACAAGUGGAAGCUCCACACCAUUUUUUUAUGCACAAACAUGUAAUAACCCAUUCAUGUCUCCAAUGCUUCAACUUUCAAUUUCUCAACCAAACUCUUUGUACGCAGAAUAUAUGCUCUCUAAACUCUAAAGUUCCUCUCUAUAUAUGUGUAUUGUAGAAUAAUUGUGUGAACGAUUGGCUUAUCUAAUACCAGUCAAAAAUUAUUUUUAGCCUUGUCCAAUAAAAGUUACCACUGGCAGCCAGGAAGUUUGUGAAUAUCUAUAUACUCCUAACAGUGAAUAUCACAUAGUGGUGUUUCAGAUUUCGUUGAAGUUGGGGAAGAAACUAGCAUUCAAAUUUGAGGAGUGAAAUGCUACCAGGGUGAAAUUGCAGCCUUGUCAUCAUCGACGAUCUCCACAUUCAGGCUACUAAAGAACCUGAGAAGCUCUACUGUGAAUCUGUCAUUUCCUUCAAUCUCUGGUGGUCACAUCUAUUAGAGGAAUAUUGGGAGCUUAUCUACGAAAUUAGGUAAUUUUAGUUGCAGAAAGUGAACAUUAUUUGUCCACUGCUUGAUAUUAAGUGGAACAUGAAUAUUCACUUUGUGUAGACAAAUGAAUUUCGGCACUCAAGACAAUGAGACUAUGGCUUCAUAUCUAUUAAGAAGUGAAUCCAAUGAAUAUCUAACCAGGGAACUAAAUCGACUAAGCAAACUGAUUCUAUUGCUAACAAAUUGAUUUUGAG